rnacentral:rRNA from 1 species
CUACAAAUGAAUUGACGGGGACCCGCACAAGCAGCGGAGCGUGUGGUUUAAUUCGUUGCUACACGAAGAACCUUACCUGGGUUUGACAUAUAGGUUGUAGGGAACUGAAAAGGGACCGACCCUUCGGGGAGCCUAUACAGGUGUUGCAUGGCUGUCGUCAGCUCGUGUCGUGAGAUGUUCGGUUAAGUCCGCUAACGAGCGCAACCCUCGUCGUAUGUUAUAUGUGUCAUACGAGACUGCCGGUAAAAGCCGGAGGAAGGUGAGGAUGAUGUCAAGUCAGCAUGACCUUUAUAUCCAGGGCUACACACACGCUACAAUGGUCUGUACAAUGGGUAGCCAAGCCGCGAGGCGGAGCCAAUCCUGAAAGCAGGCCUCAGUUCAGAUUGCAGUCUGCAACUCGACUGCAUGAAGCCGGAGUUGCUAGUAACCGCAGGUCAGCAAUACUGCGGUGAAUACGUUCCCGGGUCUU